ACGCACGCUGGCGGCGUGCUUAACACAUGCAAGUCGCACGGAAAGGCCUCUUUCGGGGGGUACUCGAGUGGCUAACGGGUGAGUAACACGUGAGUAACCUGCCCUUGACUUUGGGAUAACUUCAGGAAACUGGGGCUAAUACCGGAUAGGAGCUCCUGCUGCAUGGUGGGGGUUGGAAAGUUUCGGCGGUUGGGGAUGGACUCGCGGCUUAUCAGCUUGUUGGUGGGGUAGUGGCUUACCAAGGCUUUGACGGGUAGCCGGCCUGAGAGGGUGACCGGCCACAUUGGGACUGAGAUACGGCCCAGACUCCUACGGGAGGCAGCAGUGGGGAAUAUUGCACAAUGGGUGGAAGCCUGAUGCAGCAACGCCGUGUGCGGGAUGACGGCCUUCGGGUUGUAAACCGCUUUCGCUCAUGACGAAGCUUUGUGUGACGGUAGUGGGUAAAGAAGCACCGGCUAACUACGUG
rnacentral:rRNA from 1 species